rnacentral:antisense_RNA from 1 species
GGGGUGAAAUUUGAGGUCAUAUCCCGGGAAAGAGGAAGAAGGGUCGUGAGUCACCGAACCCGAAGGAGAGGAAAAGAUGUGGAGGCGGCGGUCUAUGGCCUCUUCCAGCUCCGGACGGGGGAUGGGGACGCUCUGGGCAAUACGGGCCUCAGUUACUGUCCCACUGUCCUUUCAGCACUUAACCAACCCAGUUGGAGGCCGCCUGGGAGAAUGUAGCCUUGGAACUAGGGCCUGGAAUUGGGGCUCCUACCGGUUGUGUGGGCUUGGGUUGUGACAAGGAACAAUGGGCUGGCUCAAGUUUUAUGGAGCGUAACCAAAUAACAUCCUUUGAAGGCUGAUCAGCACCGGACCAGAAAUCAUUGCAUGAGCUAUAUCUGUCAGAGACCCCUGAAACCCAUUCCCCAUUCUGAAGGUGUAGACAUCACAAAGUGUGGACAGAAAUAGCUUCUCA